GAAGGCCCCAUUGACAGGGCUACACGCGCUAUAACGCACACCGUUGGUCACAACUCGGUGGCAACCGUCGACGGGUCACGCGAAAGCGUACUUGAACCCCGAGGAAACGCGCAACCUGAAUAUCCACUUCGUGGAAUCCUCGCCCUUUAGGGCGGGGAGGAUGUCAACAGAACGCAGAUC
rnacentral:misc_RNA from 1 species